UACAGAGGUCUCAAGCGUUGUUCGGAUUCAUUGGGCGUAAAGGGCGCGUAGGCGGCGAGGUAAGUCGGGUGUGAAAUCUCAGAGCUCAACUCUGAAACUGCACUCGAUACUGCUUUGCUAGAGGACUGGAGAGGAGAUUGGAAUUCACGGUGUAGCAGUGAAAUGCGCAGACUAUCAGGAAGAACACCCCGUGGCGAAGGCGGCUCUCUGGGACGGUACUGACGCUGAGACGCGAAAGCGUGGGGAGCGAACAGG
rnacentral:rRNA from 1 species